UACGGAGGGUGCGAGCGUUAAUCGGAAUUACUGGGCGUAAAGGGUGCGUAGGUGGUGAUAUAAGUUAUCUGUGAAAUUCCUGGGCUUAACCUGGGGUGGUCAGAUAAUACUGUGUUACUUGAGUAUAGGAGAGGGUAGUGGAAUUUCCGGUGUAGCGGUGAAAUGCGUAGAGAUCGGAAGGAACACCGGUGGCGAAGGCGGCUGCCUGGCCUAAUACUGACACUGAGGCACGAAAGCGUGGGGAGCAAACAGG
rnacentral:rRNA from 1 species